rnacentral:rRNA from 1 species
GGGAAACCGAGUCUUAAUUGGGCGUUAAGUUGCAGGGUAUAGACCCGAAACCCGGUGAUCUAGCCAUGGGCAGGUUGAAGGUUGGGUAACACUAACUGGAGGACCGAACCGACUAAUGUUGAAAAAUUAGCGGAUGACCUGUGGCUGGGGGUGAAAGGCCAAUCAAACCGGGAGAUAGCUGGUUCUCCCCGAAAGCUAUUUAGGUAGCGCCUCGUGAAUUCAUCUCCGGGGGUAGAGCACUGUUUCGGCUAGGGGGCCAUCCCGGCUUACCAACCCGAUGCAAACUGCGAAUACCGGAGAAUGUUAUCACGGGAGACACACGGCGGGUGCUAACGUCCGUCGUGAAGAGGGAAACAACCCAGACCGCCAGCUAAGGUCCCAAAGUCAUGGUUAAGUGGGAAACGAUGUGGGAAGGCCCAGACAGCCAGGAUGUUGGCUUAGAAGCAGCCAUCAUUUAAAGAAAGCGUAAUAGCUCACUGGUCGAGUCGGCCUGCGCGGAAGAUGUAACGGGGCUAAACCAUGCACCGA